rnacentral:lncRNA from 1 species
GAAGUGCUGACUGCGCCGCGCUCUCUCAGCCGCCGCCACUGCGGACGCCCGCCCGGGACGGCGACCGCUUCCUCCCUCCGCGCCCGCCUUGUCUCUUUUUGGUCUCGCUCUGCCGCCCAGGCUGGAGUCAGUGGCACCAUCGUGGCUCACUGCGGCCUCCACCGCCGGGACUCCAGGGAUCCUCCCGCCUCAGCCUCCCGAGGAGCUGGGACCACAUCACCUGGCUAAUUUUAAAAUUUUUCUGUAGAGACAGGAUCUCACUUUGUUGCCCAGGCUGGUCUCAAACUCCUGGGCUCAAGCGACCCUCCCGCCUCGGCCUCCCAAAGUGCCACCGUGCCAAGCCUCAAUUAGGUUUUUAAUUUUAAUUUGGCAUUGUUUGAGGCUCAGACUGCUGCCAUGUCAUUUUCACACGACAGCAAGUUGGGGACAGCGAGUUGUUCUGUCCUGCGCGUGCGUCCCCUCAUGGUCUUGAGUGACCUGACCCUCUGUGGGGAGCCCUGAGCCUCCUCCCGGCUCCCGCUGCCCCAGCUCUCAGCUAAUGGAGACUCCAGGGCGGGCUCAAGCCCCCGGCC